UACAGAGGUCUCAAGCGUUGUUCGGAUUCAUUGGGCGUAAAGGGUGCGUAGGUGGCGCGGUAAGUCGGGUGUGAAAUUUCGGAGCUUAACUCCGAAACUGCAUUCGAUACUGCCGUGCUUGAGGACUGGAGAGGAGACUGGAAUUUACGGUGUAGCAGUGAAAUGCGUAGAUAUCGUGAGGAACACCAGAGGCGAAGGCGGCUACCUGGACAAUUGCUGACGCUCAGGCACGAAAGCGUGGGGAGCAAACAGG
rnacentral:rRNA from 1 species